AAUUUGAUUAUUUAAUUAAAACACAGAAUUGCGGAGGUGUUAGAAAGUGGUGUCGACGCAAUGUGAUUUCUGCCCAGUGCUCUCCACAUCAACGUGAAGAAAAUCAACCAAGAGUGGGGUAAACGGUGGGAGUUACUUUGACUCUCUAAAGGCACCCAAAUGCCUCGUCAUCUAAUUACUGACGCGCAUGAAUGGAUUAACAAGAUU
rnacentral:ncRNA from 1 species